rnacentral:rRNA from 1 species
CAGCAGCAGCCGCGGUAAUACGGAGGAUCCAAGCGUUAUCCGGAAUCAUUGGGUUUAAAGGGUCCGUAGGCGGUCUUGUAAGUCAGUGGUGAAAGCCCAUCGCUCAACGGUGGAACGGCCAUUGAUACUGCAGGACUUGAAUUAUUGGGAAGUAACUAGAAUAUGUAGUGUAGCGGUGAAAUGCUUAGAGAUUACAUGGAAUACCAAUUGCGAAGGCAGGUUACUACCAAUUGAUUGACGCUGAUGGACGAAAGCGUGGGUAGCGAACAGGAUUAGAUACCCCCGUAGUCCCUGUCUCUUAUAC